UACGUAGGGUGCGAGCGUUAAUCGGAAUUACUGGGCGUAAAGCGUGCGCAGGCGGUUUUGUAAGACAGGUGUGAAAUCCCCGGGCUUAACCUGGGAACUGCGCUUGUGACUGCAAGACUCGAGUACGGUAGAGGGGGAUGGAAUUCCGCGUGUAGCAGUGAAAUGCGUAGAUAUGCGGAGGAACACCGAUGGCGAAGGCAAUCCCCUGGACCUGUACUGACGCUCAUGCACGAAAGCGUGGGGAGCAAACAGG
rnacentral:rRNA from 1 species